ensembl:lncRNA
CAUCAUCAUCAUCCUCACAGCACACAGAAAGAGUUAGGUAAUCAUCAUCAUCAUCAUCGUUAUCAUCAUCAUUAUCAUCAUCAUCAUCGUCAUCAUUAUCAUCAUCAUCGUCAUCAUUGCAUCAUCAUCAUCGUCACUGCACACAGAAAGAGUUCGGUAAUCAUCAUCAUCAUCAUCAUGAUUAUUAUCAUCAUCAUCAUCAUUAUCAUCGUCAUCAUCGUCAUCAUUAUCAUCAUCGUCAUCAUUGCAUCAUCAUCAUCGUCACUGCACACAGAAAGAGUUCGGUAAUCAUCAUCAUCAUCAUCAUCAUCAUUAUCAUCAUCAUCAUCGUCACCAUUAUCAUCAUCAUCAUCAUCAUUGCAUCAUCAUCAUUGUCACUGCACACAGAAAGAGUUAGGUAAUCAUCAUCAUCAUCAUCGUUAUCAUCAUCAUUAUCAUCAUCAUCAUCGUCAUCAUUAUCAUCAUCAUCGUCAUCAUUGCAUCAUCAUCAUCGUCACUGCACACAGAAAGAGUUCGGUAAUCAUCAUCAUCAUCAUCAUCAUUAUUAUCAUCAUCAUCAUCAUUAUCAUCGUCAUCAUCGUCAUCAUUAUCAUCAUCAUCGUCAUCAUUGCAUCAUCAUCAUCGUCACUGCACACAGAAAGAGUUCGGUAAUCAUCAUCAUCAUCGUUAUCAUCAUUAUUAUCAUUAUCAUCAUCAUCAUUAUUAUCAUCAUCAUCAUCAUUAUCAUCAUCAUCGUCAUCAUUGCAUCAUCAUCAAUGUCACUGCACACAGAAAGAGUUAGGUAAUCAUCAUCAUCAUCAUCAUCAUUAUCAUCAUCAUCAUCGUCACCAUUAUCAUCAUCAUCAUCAUCAUUGCAUCAUCAUCAUUGUCACUGCACACAGAAAGAGUUAGGUAAUCAUCAUCAUCAUCAUGAUCGUCAUCAUUAUUAUCAUCAUCAUCGCCAUCAUCAUCAUCCUCACUGCACACAGAAAGAGUUGGGUAAUCAUCAUCAUUAUUAUUAUCAUCAUCAUCAUCAUCAUCGUCACUGCACACAGAAAGAGUUAGGAAAUCAUCAUUAUUAUCAACAUCAUCAUCAUU